rnacentral:tRNA from 1 species
UAUAUUUUAGUGUAUGACGCACAAAAGCUUUUGAUGCUUUUAGAGAUAGUUUAAUUCUAUUAAAUAUAA